CCUAAAACCUUGGAAAACUGCAGAGCAUGGAUGGUUUUAUUGAAGAAUUAUCAGGGUUUGAGGAUGAUUGUAAAAUCCGGGAAAACUGCAGAACAUGGAUGAUUUUAUUGGAGAAUUAUCAGGGUUUGAGGCUGAUCCUAAAACCUUGGAAAACUGCAGAGCAUGGAUGGUUUUAUUCAAGAAUUAUCAGGGUUUGAGGUUGAUGUAAAAACCUUGGAAAACUGCAGAACAUGGAUGGUUUUACUGGAGAAUUAUCAGGGUUUGAGGCUGCUGAUAUAAUCUUGGAAUAUUGCAGCAGCUGGAUUUUAUACUGAGGAAAUAUCAGGGCUUGAGGCUGAUCUUAAAACCUUGGAAAAUUGAAGAACACGGAUGGUUUUAUGGAAGAAUUAUCAGGGUUUGAGGCUGAUUUGGAAAUCUGGGAAAACUGCAGAACAUGGAUGGUUUUAUUGGGGAAUUAUCGGGGCUUGAGGCUGAUCUUAAAACCUUGGAAAACUGCAGAGCAUGGAUGGUUUUAUUGGAGAAUUAUCAGGCUUUGAGGCUGAUUUGAAAAUCCUGGAAUAUCGCAGCAUUUGGAUUUUGUACUGAAGGAGGAUCAAGGCUUGGAAAAUCCUGGGAAAUUGCAACAUCUUGGUGGUUUAUUGAAGAAAUACCGAGCGGAAUGAGGAGGUUUGGGGCCGUUUUGGGAACCUUGGAAAAUCCCAACGCUUGGAUAUUUUUAAAGGAAGAUGCACCAGGGUUUGGGGUGGGUUGGAAAUCUGGAAUGUGGGAGAGGCCAGGCUGCUUUUAGCAGCUGCUGCCUGCAGCUCCAAAUCCAUGAUCCCGUGGGGCAGAGCUGCUCCCAGGGCUGGUGGAGGGGAAAUCAAACUCCAGAGCUCUGGGAGAAAGGAGGGCUUUGCCUCUCAGAGCUUCAGAGGAGCAGAACUCGCUCCUGCCACCUCCAAUUGUGUCCAGGAAUCCUGAAACCCAACGGGAGGAAAUGCCACAGAACGCAAAUAAAAAUCUCAUGGGAUGGCAAAAAUGGGGAGGGUUUGGUGGGUAAAGAUACAGCAGUGGAAUAGACAGAGAUCUGAAGACCAGAAUGGGGGGUUCCCCAAAUUUUCGGGUUUUUCCCAACUUUUAGGAAGUGUCCUGGGAGGUGUCCCUGCCACGGAUGGGUUUUAAGGUCCCUUCCAACCCAAAUCCCAGGAUUUUAUGGUUUGAACACACCCCAAACCCUCCUGAGGCUGCCCAGAAAUGCUGGGCCAGGAACGACCAUCCUGGAUGGAAAAGGGAUUUUUCCUCCGCUGUGUCCAUCUGGGUUAUGUUUCAACCAAAUGAAAUUAAAGUGGUUUCUCCCUGGCAGGGAAAUGGGAAACACAAACGUUAAUCCAGGCAGGAGAAGAUGGAAUAAGCAGGAUUGAGGUCUGGGGAAGCCCUGCCCUGCAGCGGGGAUUCAUUCCCAGUGUGGAUGUGCAGAUGGCUCCUGGUUUGGGUUUAAAUAUUCACCCAAAUAUUUGGAUGGUUGGGUUUUAAAUAUUCACCCAAAUGCCACGCCAAGGAAAAGGAAGGAACCAGGAAUGGUGGAUUAAUCCUGCAUGAAUCUAAAAAUCAGGGGUUUGCUGGAGUAAUUUAUUCCAGGAGAACAGCAACAAGGGAAAAUCAUUCAAAUGAAAAGAACGUUUACUGAUAAUUGUGCUGUGGCCAGCACUGAAAAAUAAACAUUUUUUUUUCAAGGAACAGAAAUUCUGUUUGCAUCGACAGAGACACUUUGCCAGCUCCCAGCUGCACAGCAAGCAGGAGCAUGGAUUAUUAAUGGAUUUUUAAUUCACUGUGGAGCUCCUCGGGGCUGAGGCUCUUUAAUGGAUUUUUGGCAUCCCGGGGUGAAAUUUCUGUUUCAAAAUCUCAGCCUCCUCCCAGGAGCUUUGGCCCCUCUGCAUCCGGGGUGGGAUUGGUGCCCAGCACUCGUGGUGGCAGGAGGUUUCCUCAGGAGAUGCUGCUGAGCUGGGGAGGAGCAAAGUCCAUCUCCUCCGCGGCCCCAACGGCGGUCACUGUUGGGUUUUGUUCUUUGGCCUCACUGGAAGGGAUUUGGUUCAGCCAGGCCUGGCUUUGCAAGGCACGGUGAAUGUUUGACCCGUUUGGGCGGGUUCUGGCCCAGCUCUCCACCUUGUUUAUUCACCUGAGGACUGCACAAGUUUUCUCCUGCCCUGCCCUGGAUUCUCGGGGAGGACGAGAUGACUCAACCCAACAAAUCCUCUUAUGCUUCCCGAGCUGUUUUUAGGGGAUGACGAGAAAAACGGAUGGAAGAGGUCACAGACCCUUUUUGUGGAGCAGAAAAAGAGGCUGGUGUUCAUGCAAACAGGGAGGAAAAUCGGGGGAAAUGCAGAAAGAAUGGGGAAAUUGAAUGCUGCUACAAUUGCAGGAAUGAGCUGAGCCUGCCUGCACUUUUCCUGCAUUUCUGCUCCGUUCCGGGAAUAGAGAAGAGCAAUUUGGGCCCUGAAAUGGGAAAUUUAUAAACAACUUGUGGCCUGAAAUGGGAAAUUUAUGAACAAUUCGGGCCCUGAAACAGGAGCUGGGCAGCAGCAGCUGGCUGAGCAGAGCUGCCAGGGCUGCUGAAUUAUUGAUUAUUUAUGGAUUAUUGACACUUCCCGGGGCAGCAGGAGCGAGCUGAGGGGCUGAAUUCCAAGGGGGGUUGGCGAAGGGAAAUGGUUUAAUCAACACCAGAUGGUGAAGUGCUUAGAAGGUAAAGAACACAGAUCCAGAUAAAGUGAGAUAGAGGAAAAAAAAACAAAACUCAAAAAACAGGGAUCCAGAUAGAGAGAGAUAGAGAAAAAAACCCUCAAAGAACAGGGAUGCAGAUAAAGUGAGAUAGAGGAAAAAACAAAACUCAAAGAACAGGGAUCCAAAUAAAGAGAGAUAGAGAAAAAAACACCUCAGAGAACACAGAUGCAGAUAAAGUGAGAUAGAGAGAAAAAACCCCUCACAGAUACAGAUCCAGAUAAAGUGAGACAGGAAAAAACCAAAACUCAAAGAACAGGGAUCCAGAUAAAGUGAGUUAGAGGAAAAAAACAAAACUCAAAGAACAGGGAUCCAGAUAAAGUGAGAUAGAGGAAAAAAACAAAACUCAACGAAAAGGGAUCCAGAUAAAGUGAAAUAAAGAAAAAAAACUUCAGAGAACACAGAUGCAGAUAAAGUGAGAUAGAGAGAAAAAAACCCCUCACAGAUACAGAUCCAGAUAAACUGAGGUAGAGGAAAAAACACCUCAGAGAUCACAGAUCCAGAUAAAGUGAGACAG